rnacentral:rRNA from 1 species
AGAUUGAACGCUGGCGGCAUGCCUUACACAUGCAAGUCGAACGGUAGAGUAGCAAUACUCGAGAGUGGCGAACGGGUGAGUAAUAUAUCGGAACGUGCCCAGUCGUGGGGGAUAACGUAGAGAAAUUUACGCUAAUACCGCAUACGAUCUACGGAUGAAAGCGGGGGAUUCGCAAGAACCUCGCGCGAUUGGAGCGGCUGAUAUCAGAUUAGGUUGUGGACGAGGUAAAAGCUCACCAAGCCGACGAUCGUGUAGUCGUGGUUUGAGAGGAACCGACC